GACGAACGCUGGCGGCGUGCUUAACACAUGCAAGUCGAACGGAAAGGCCCUGCUUUUGUGGGGUGCUCGAGUGGCGAACGGGUGAGUAACACGUGAGUAACCUGCCCUCGACUUUGGGAUAACUUCAGGAAACUGGGGCUAAUACCGGAUAGGAGCUCCUGCUGCAUGGUGGGGGUUGGAAAGUGUCGGCGGUUGGGGAUGGACUCGCGGCUUAUCAGCUUGUUGGUGGGGUAGUGGCUUACCAAGGCUUUGACGGGUAGCCGGCCGGAGAGGGUGACCGGCCACAUUGGGACUGAGAUACGGCCCAGACUCCUACGGGAGGCAGCAGUGGGGAAUAUUGCACAAUGGGCGGAAGCCUGAUGCAGCAACGCCGCGUGCGGGAUGACGGCCUUCGGGUUGUAGACCGCUUUCGCCUGUGACGAAGCGUGAGUGACGGUAAUGGGUAAAGAAGCACCGGCUAACUACGUG
rnacentral:rRNA from 1 species